rfam:Carboxydocella sporoproducens DSM 16521 genome assembly, contig: BR84DRAFT_scaffold00011.11
UCCACCGUGAGGUGGAAUCUGAAGGAAGUCGGCGGCAAACCUCCGGCCCGACGAACAG